UACAGAGGGGGCAAGCGUUGUUCGGAAUUACUGGGCGUAAAGGGCGCGUAGGCGGCCUGUUAAGUCGAACGUGAAAUCCCCGGGCUCAACCCGGGAACUGCGUCCGAUACUGGCAGGCUUGAAUCCGGGAGAGGGAUGCGGAAUUCCAGGUGUAGCGGUGAAAUGCGUAGAGAUGUGGAGGAACACCGAUGGCGAAGGCAGCCCCCUGGGUCAAGAUUGACGCUCAUGCACGAAAGCGUGGGGAGCAAACAGG
rnacentral:rRNA from 1 species